rnacentral:rRNA from 1 species
UACGUAGGGUGCAAGCGUUGUCCGGAAUUAUUGGGCGUAAAGAGCUCGUAGGCGGUUUGUUGCGUCGGCUGUGAAAUCCCGAGGCUCAACCUCGGGUCUGCAGUCGAUACGAGCAAACUAGAGUGUUGCAGGGGAGACUGGAAUUCCUGGUGUAGCGGUGAAAUGCGCAGAUAUCAGGAGGAACACCGGUGGCGAAGGCGGGUCUCUGGACCGAUACUGACGCUGGAGGCGCGAAAAGCCGUGGGGAGCAAACAGG